CUCAUAGCGUAUAUUUAAGUUGUUGCAGUUAAAAAGCUCGUAGUCGGAUUUUGGCUGAGAACGGUCGGUCCGCCGUUAGGUGUGCACUGACUGGUCUCAGCUUCCUGGUGAGGAGGUGUGCUUCAUCGCCACUUAGUCACCGUGGUUACUUUGAAAAAUUAGAGUGUUCAAAGCGGGCUUACGCUUGAAUAUAUUAGCAUGGAAUAACACCAUAGGACUCCUGUCCUAUUUCGUUGGUCCCGGGACGGGAGUAAUGAUUAAGAGGAACAGUUGGGGGCAUUCGUAUUUCAUUGUCAGAGGUGAAAUUCUUGGAUUUAUGAAAGACGAACUUCUGCGAAAGCAUUUGCCAAGGAUGUUUUCAUUGAUCAAGAACGAAAGUUGGGGGCUCGAAGAUGAUUAGAUACCAUCCUAGUCUCAACCAUAAACGAUGCCGACUAGGGAUUGGCGGAUGUUAAUUGAUGACUUCGCCAGCACCUUAUGAGAAAUCAAAGUUUUUGGGUUCCGGGGGGAGUAUGGUCGCAAGGCUGAAACUUAAAGGAAUUGACGGAAGGGCACCACCAGGCGUGGAGCCUGCGGCUUAAUUUGACUCAACACGAGGAAACUUACCAGGUCCAGACAUAGUAAGGAUUGACAGAUUGAGAGCUCUUUCU
rnacentral:rRNA from 1 species